GAGGGAGCAUGAAUGUGAAGUAUUCUUUUUAUGUGGACUGCGUCUUGUAACGGAACCCAAAUAAACAACACAAUUGAUUUUGAAUUGCAAACUCGACAAAGCAUAAUGCAAAUUUAGCUCAUAUUCCUUUUCAAUAAUAUUCAUUUCAAGAACACCAUAGUCGUGUAGUCUGUGCAGACAUACUUAGAUAAAACAAAGUAAUGAAAAUUGGAGCAUCCUCAAACUCCCCCUCACACUUUAGAAAGUUGAAAGUGGACAUAUAUAUUCUCUAGAAAGGACCUAUUAGUCUGAAUCCAGUGAGUUAUGCUACGGGUUUUCAUAGAGAUGGACUUCUUACUAGGGAGUAUUGGUGCCGCAUCGCACAUAACGCUUUUUCAUGGUUUUCUGUGUGCUUAUUUUUGCUCGGAUGUCAUGUUUGC
rnacentral:lncRNA from 1 species